rnacentral:rRNA from 1 species
GAUCUGGCUCAGAUGAACGCUGGCGGCGUGCUUAACACAUGCAAGUCGCGCGUGAAAGGACUUCGGUCCGAGUAAAGCGGCGCACGGGUGAGUAACGCGUGGAUGAUCUACCCAUGAGUUAGGAAUAACGGCUGGAAACGGUCGCUAAUACCAAAUACGCUCCGAUUUCAACUUCGGGGGAAAGGUGGCCUCUGCUUGCAAGCUACUGCUCAUGGAUGAGUCCGCGUCCCAUUAGCUAGUUGGUGGGGUAACGGCCCACCAAGGCGACGAUGGGUAGCCGGUCUGAGAGGAUGACCGGCCACACUGGGACUGGAACACGGCCCAGACUCCUACGGGAGGCAGCAGUGGGGAAUAUUGCGCAAUGGGCGAAAGCCUGACGCAGCGACGCCGCGUGAGGGAUGAAGGUCCUCGGAUCGUAAACCUCUGUCAGGAGGGAAGAACCGCCACGGUGCUAAUCAGCCGUGGUCUGACGGUACCUCCAAAGGAAGCACCGGCUAACUCCGUGCCAGCCGCAGC